AGGACAUUACAGAGGAUACAAACGAAAACACAGAUACAAUGACUGGACCUGGAGAGAAGUCUGAACUGGAACACCUUGGAAACAUGGAAAACAAAAUCAUCCAUGACAUGCCAAAAGUCCACAAAUGGGUGAAAGACCACGCAAAGCUGUUCAAUUCUGCUGUUAUUGCACCACAGUUUCUUACAAUGGAAAAGGAAGAAGCUGAAUCUGCACUGGAGCAGUUGAAUUCCCUCAGCAUUGAGACAGAUCCUGACA